GGUGGCAAGUUGAAACUCGACUCCCAGUGGCUUGCUAAACACAUUUAUCACUUUUACAUAAAUGAAGAAGAUUGGAGGACCUGGAUCUGGAAGUUAAAACCAACAAAAUUGCGAUUCUAUGUUUAACUGGAGCAAGCUGGACUAUUUGUGCGCAACAUCCUUGAAAAAGCCUCGAAAACUCCUUAUCUUUGCUAACAUGGAGAAUGAGAAUCUGAAACAGAAGCAGAGAUGAUGUGAAGGUCCGAAAUAGCCUUUAACUUUGAAGCAUCUUAAACUUUCAGACUGCAAGUACAGACAUGAGCAAUAUGUUCAUAUCAGCAGAACAAAGAUGUAAAGGAGCACUAAAGAUAUUGAAAGAACAACAGAUUAUCCAAGUAUGUGAAUGGAUUUGAGGGCUGUUGGCUUCUACAGAAGACCUUCUCUGAGGCACAGCAGCACCAAUGGAGCCAACUUUCUAGAAGUUCCUUUUUGUUGCAGUUUCUCUGUUAUGAAUUUCAAUAUCACCUUAGGUGAUUUGAGGAUUGUUUUGAGUGUCACAGUCAUAUUUUGGGAUCCUGCCUGUGCGUAAAAUUGGUUGUAAAGGAACCAAGGAUAUAUUGUUCUUCCUUUGUGUUCUUGACCAAUCUCUAUUCAAUGUGGGUUUAACAUUCAGAAUGGAAAUCAAAUAAUUUCUAGAAGUCAGGAUUCUAGGAAAAACUCCUUCCCUUGGUGAAAGUGGCUAAAAAUCUGCCAUUGGAUUUGUUAGCAGAAGUCCUAAACUAAAAACUCCUAUUAGAAUUCUCUUCUUCAAAAGAAAUGUCUACUUUCAAAGUUUUGCUGACUUCCGGAGCGCUUAGCAUUCUGGGAGAAGAGAAAUUGCAGAAAUUUCCAGAAUAUUUUAAGUGUAAUAAAGAACCAGAGAAAAAAAUUAAUAUGUGCUCCCAUUUAGUUUUGUUGGGAGAUUAAGAAUUUCUAAAUUGUA